rnacentral:lncRNA from 1 species
CAUUUAUGAGCUGUUCCCACAUGCCAAUCCCCAUUCGAAGUUCUUUUUGUGUAUUCUCUCCUGGAACGUCAGAACCAUUCAUGAGUGCAGGGCACCUUUGAGCGUUGUGUCUGGUCCACUCUACUUGGAGCUCCAUGAAAAGGCGUAUCCCUCCCAUCUGGCCCGUCAGAGGAUCUUAUGCUCCAGGCCCAGUAAUUGGUCUAGGGGUCAUCAGGAUGUUCACUCUACUUCUGCUGUCAAGAAGCCCAAGCGUCCUGUGGAGAGGAGCUGAGGCCCCAGCCCACAGCCUCGACUGAGCUUCCAGCCCACAGCCAGCACCAGGUGGUCAGACACAUGAACGGAUAAACAAGCUGAGGGGAUCCUCACAAUGGAAUACUACACAAGCAGCAAAAAGAGUGAGCUCUUGAGACACACAAAAACUCAGAAGAACCUCAAGGACGUUGUAGUAAGUGAAGGAAGCCAGUCUCAAAGAUGACGUUCUGCGUGACUCCAUGUAUUUGACCUGCUCGAAAAGACAAAAAUGCGUGAUGGAAAAGAGGUCAGUGGUCAUCAGGGUUACGGUGGGGUGAUGGUGUGGC